CCUACGGGAGGCAGCAGUGAGGAAUAUUGGUCAAUGGACGGAAGUCUGAACCAGCCAUGCCGCGUGCAGGAAGACGGCCCUAUGAGUUGUAAACCGCUUUUGCACAAGGGUAACCCUGAACACUUGUAUUCAGCUGCAAGUACCGUUCGAAUAAGGACCGGCUAACUCCGUGCCAGCAGCCGCGGUAAUACGGAGGACCCAAGCGUUAUCCGGAUUUAUUGGGCUUAAAGGGUGCGUAGGCGGACUGAUAAGUGAGCUGUGAAAUGUCCGAGCUUAACUCGGGAACUGCCUCUAAUACUGUUGAUCUAGAGAGUAGAUGCGGUAGGCGGAAUGUAUGGUGUAGCGGUGAAAUGCUUAGAGAUCAUACAGAACACCGAUUGCGAAGGCAGCUUACCAAUCUAUAUCUGACGUUGAGGCACGAAGGCGUGGGGAGCAAACAGGAUUAGAUACCCGAGUAGUC
rnacentral:rRNA from 1 species